rnacentral:rRNA from 1 species
CCUGGGGUGCCCCGCGAGGGGAGCCCUAGCACAGGUGCUGCAUGGCCGUCGUCAGCUCGUGCCGUGAGGUCGUUGGGUUAAGUCCCGCAACGAGCGCAACCCCGCGUUAGUUGCCAGCGGUUCGGCCGGGCACUCUAACGGGACUGCCCGCGAAAGCGGGAGGAAGAGGGGACGACGUCUGGUCAGCAUGGCCCUUACGGCCUGGGCGACACACGUGCUACAAUGCCCACUACAAAGCGAUGCCACCCGGCAACGGGGAGCUAAUCGCAAAAAGGUGGGCCCAGUUCGGAUUGGGGUCUGCAACCCGACCCCAUGAAGCCGGAAUCGCUAGUAAUCGCGGAUCAGCCAUGCCGCGGUGAAUACGUUCCCGGGCCUU